rnacentral:rRNA from 1 species
GUGUCAGCCGCCGCGGUAAUACGAACCGUCCAAACGUUAUUCGGAAUCACUGGGCUUAAAGGGUGCGUAGGCGGCCUGUUAAGUUGGGUGUGAAAUCCCUCGGCUCAACCGAGGAAUUGCGCCCAAUACUGGCGGGCUUGAGGGAGAUAGAGGUGAGCGGAACUUAGGGUGGAGCGGUGAAAUGCGUUGAUAUCCUAAGGAACACCGGUGGCGAAAGCGGCUCACUGGGUCUCUUCUGACGCUGAGGCACGAAAGCUAGGGGAGCGAACGGGAUUAGAAACCCCCGUAGUCC